rnacentral:rRNA from 1 species
UACGAAGGGGGCUAGCGUUGUUCGGAAUUACUGGGCGUAAAGCGCGCGUAGGCGGUGAUCUUUGUCAGAGGUGAAAGCCCGGGGCUCAACUCCGGAAUUGCCUUUGAAACGGGAUCGCUUGAGUCCGGAAGAGGAGAGCGGAAUUCCUGGUGUAGCGGUGGAAUGCGCAGAUAUCAGGAGGAACACCGGUGGCGAAGGCGGGUCUCUGGGCAACAACUGACGCUGAGGAGCGAAAGCGUGGGGAGCGAACAGG